AAAGUUCGUAAUUAAAGCAAUUAAAGGAUUAAAUGGUAAAUCAUUAAAUUUUUAAGAUUUGGCGGUGUUUUAUUCAAGUUAGGGGAAUCUGUUGUGUAAUUGAUGGUCCACGAGAAGACAGACUUAAAUUGGAUAUUUAUGUAUUGUUGUUUAUAGAAGGAUUAAGGAAGGUUUUGUUGAGAUAGAUAAUUAAUUAUAGUUUUUUUAUGAUUAUUAUUUAAUAAUUCAAAUCAAAAUGUAGUAUAUAUUUAAGAAUUAAAUGGAUUACAAUAAAUUAAAUUUAAAUGGAUAUAAUUUUUUAAUUAGAUUAUUGAAGGCGGACUUAAGAGUAAAUUUAAUUAAUUUAUUAAAUUGAAAAGAGCUUUAAAACAUGU
rnacentral:rRNA from 1 species